CCUACGGGUGGCAGCAGUGAGGAAUAUUGGUCAAUGGCCGGGAGGCUGAACCAGCCAAGUCGCGUGAGGGAAGACGGCCCUACGGGUUGUAAACUUCUUUUCUGAGGGACGAAGAAAGUGACGGUACCUCAGGAAUAAGCCACGGCUAACUACGUGCCAGCAGCCGCGGUAAUACGUAGGUGGCAAGCGUUAUCCGGAUUUAUUGGGUGUAAAGGGCGUGUAGGCGGGAAAGCAAGUCAGAUGUGAAAACUCAGGGCUCAACCCUGAGCCUGCAUUUGAAACUGUUUUUCUUGAGUGCUGGAGAGGCAAUCGGAAUUCCGUGUGUAGCGGUGAAAUGCGUAGAUAUACGGAGGAACACCAGUGGCGAAGGCGGAUUGCUGGACAGUAACUGACGCUGAGGCGCGAAAGCGUGGGGAGCAAACAGGAUUAGAUACCCGAGUAGUC
rnacentral:rRNA from 1 species